AUAGUCCAAUAUUGACAUGCAAUGCUAAUAAGGCAACCCUAGGAAAGAACAAUGGUCACAGGCCAUGACUCAGUUUCCCUGCUCCCUACUGAAUUGGCCAAGAGAUCUUUAUCUCAGAGGAAUGGGCAGGAACAUAGAAAUCUGAACCUGAACUGUAUAAAACUCCCCCAUACAAAGGCAGAGGGGUGGGAAUGUAGAACUUGCCUCAAACCCUGAGGAUUGAUUCUGAGGACCCUGAGACCUCACCCCCAGCAGUAAGUAUGUUUGUAUUCUCUGCUGUAUGUAGCUGCUCUUGUUGCCUGAUCUAUAACAUCCCAAUAAAUCAGCAUGUAGUUUGGAGGAACUUGCUUUGGCUUUUCUUGCACUUUAGGUAAAACAAAAGCCUGUGUAACAAGACAACAUUCCCUUUCACUUCAUUCCAAACAGACGCAUUCUGACCAUCUACUCCUUCACCA